ACCACCUGAGUAUGUUUGUGUUAAACGGUGGACAAGGUCUCAAUAGCAGGUGCAAAAAAACCCCUUUGCCACCCAGAGCUCACUAUUCAGUAAGAGUUUUGGAACACAUAAAAAGUAAU
ensembl:snoRNA